rnacentral:rRNA from 1 species
GGCGUCCGAGUUGUAAUUUGUAGAGGAUGCUAUUGGGUUGCCACCGGUCUAAGUUCCUUGGAACAGGACGUCACAGAGGGUGAGAAUCCCGUAUGUGACCGGCCAGGCGCCUUCUGUAUAGCUCCUUCGACGAGUCGGGUUGUUUGGGAAUGCAGCCCUAAAUGGGAGGUAAAUUUCUUCUAAAGCUAAAUACCGGCCAGAGACCGAUAGCGCACAAGUAGAGUGAUCGAAAGAUGAAAAGCACUUUGGAAAGAGAGUUAAAAAGCACGUGAAAUUGUUGAAAGGGAAGCGCUUGCAAUCAGUCUCGACGGCGGCUGUUCGGCCUCUCUUCUGAGUGGUUUAUUCAGUCGCCGCCGGGCCAGCAUCAGUUUUGGCGGUCGGAUAAAGGCGCAGGGAAUGUAGCUCCCCCGGGAGUGUUAUAGCCCCGCGUGCAAUACGGCCCGCCGGGACUGAGGUCCGCGCUUCGGCUAGGAUGCUGGCGAAAUGGUUGUAAGCGGCCCGUCUUGAAACACGGACCAAGGAGUCUAACAUCUACGCGAGUGUUUGGGUGUCAAACCCGUGCGCGCAAUGAAAGUGAACGGAGGUGGGAACCGCAAGGUGCACCAUCGACCGAUCCUGAUGUCUUCGGAUGGAUUUGAGUAAGAGCGUAGCUGUUGGGACCCGAAAGAUGGUGAACUAUGCCUGAAUAGGGUGAAGCCAGAGGAAACUCUGGUGGAGGCUCGCAGCGGUUCUGACG